rnacentral:rRNA from 1 species
AUUGAACGCUGGCGGCAUGAUUUACACAUGCAAGUCGAACGGUAACAGGCCGCAAGGUGCUGACGAGUGGCGAACGGGUGAGUAAUGCAUCGGAACGUGCCCAGUCGUGGGGGAUAACUACUCGAAAGAGUAGCUAGUACCGCAUACGAUCUAUGGAUGACAGCGGGGGACCGUAAGGCCUCGCGCGAUUGGAGCGGCCGAUGUCAGAUUAGGUAGUUGGUGGGGUAAAGGCUCACCAAGCCAACGAUCUGUAGCUGGUCUGAGAGGACGACCAGCCACACUGGGACUGAGACACGGCCCAGACUCCUACGGGAGGCAGCAGUGGGGAAUUUUGGACAAUGGGCGCAAGCCUGAUCCAGCAAUGCCGCGUGCAGGAAGAAGGCCUUCGGGUUGUAAACUGCUUUUGUACGGAACGAAACGGCUCCGGUUAAUACCCGGGGCUAAUGACGGUACCGUAAGAAUAAGCACCGGCUAACUACGUG